GACGGAGGGCGCUAGCGUUGUUCGGAAUCACUGGGCGUAAAGGGCGCGCAGGCGGCCCGGCGAGUCGGGCGUGAAAGCCCGGGGCUCAACCCCGGAACGGCGUCCGAUACUGCCGGGCUCGAGGCCGGGAGAGGGUGGUGGAAUACCCAGUGUAGAGGUGAAAUUCGUAGAUAUUGGGUGGAACACCGGUGGCGAAAGCGGCCACCUGGCCCGGUCCUGACGCUGAGGCGCGAAAGCGUGGGGAGCAAACAGG
rnacentral:rRNA from 1 species